rnacentral:rRNA from 1 species
GACGAACGCUGGCGGCGUGCUUAACACAUGCAAGUCGAACGAAGUGGCGAACGGGUGAGUAACGCGUAAUCAACCUGCACUUCAGAGGAGGACAACAGUUGGAAACGACUGAUAAUACCGCAUACUGAAGGAGGGGAUUGCGUCUGAUUAGCGAGUUGGCGGGGUAACGGCCCACAAAGGCGAUGAUCAGUCGCCGGGCUGAGAGGCAGAACGGCAACAAGGGGACGGAGAAACGGCCCAGACUCCUACGGGAGGCAGCAGGGGGGAAUCUUCCGCAAGGGACGAAAGUCUGACGGAGCAACGCCGCGUGAGUGAUGACGGCCUUCGGGUUGUAAAGCUCUGUUAAUCGGGACGCGGUACCGGAAUAGAAAGCCACGGCUAACUACGUGCCAGCAGCCGCGGUAAUUC